rnacentral:lncRNA from 1 species
UCAUUAGUGCAGAUUCAGCCACAACCGUAUGACUAUGGUUGUUGUGCUUAAGCGUCAACUGUCUCUCACCCCAUCCCUUUCAAAGUAUAUAUUAAAAUAAUAUAUACAAUAUAUUUUCAAUGUAAUUCUACAUUGAAAGGAAAGCAUAAUGAUCAAAAUUUAUUUGAUUAUAUCUUUUCUUUAUCCUAAAAAAAAAAAAAAAAAAGUGUGAGAGGGAGAAUUGACGCAUCUUGUGUCUGGGUAUAAUUUUUGAGGUAAGUUCUUCACAUUUUUUAAUUAAUUAUCUUCAGUUAUUAUAUUGACAUUAGAAGGGCCACGAAGUUGAUAUAUAUAUAUAUAUAUAUAUAUAUAUAUAUAUAUAUAUAUAUAUAUAUAUAUAAUGGUGGGGUAUACAUGUGUGUGUGUAUAGCAAAUUUAUAUGUAAUAUAUACAUAUAUAUAUAUAUAUACACAUAAUUACUCGUAUAUAACGUAUACAUGUGUAUAUCAAUAUACAUAUAAUGGUGUAUAUGUAUUAUAUAUAUAUACAUACAUAGAUACAUUUAUAUGUAUGUGUGUGUGUGUGUGAAAAUAGCUCAGAACAUGAGUAUAUGUAUUCCGUAUUAAUAAUUACACAUACGCACAUGAGGGUACGUGUGUGAGAAAAUUGCAAUGUAAUUAAAUUCAGUCUUUGCAUUUAAGUAUUCUUUGUACACUUAUGAAAUUACGUUCUCGUUUACUGUGACCUUUAAUAAUUUAUGAAUUUUUUUUAUUAAUAUGUGCUCAUAUUUUAUUUUACAUCCUUGUUACUAUUCAUUCGUUUCUUUCGCCUUUUUUCCCCCAUUCUAAAACUGAUUAUCAAAAUCAGAUUAUAAAUAAAGAAAUGCUGAUUGUUAUAUACUAAUCUCACGUUUCUAGUUUCUAUUGCGGAAAUCAAAUAUUUUAACAUUCUUAGAAUUUUACUCAGAUACAUACACACACACACACACACUUCGUCGUUGAGAUCAUAACAAGCUUAUUUAAAACAUACCGCAAUAUCACAUAAACUUCCCUUUGUUUAGCCCCUGGCCUGCUCUGAUCGAGAUCUUUGAUUCAAAAACAAUGACUCAUGACCAUCCCAUUUUUUUUUAUUACUCAGAACCACAUUUUCCAAUGACUUCUCUCUAUUUUAAAAUGUUGGAAUGUGAUUUGAAGGAGACUCGACUGCAAUUUUUAGCAGUUCGAACGACCGCGUUAUGAUUCGAUCCCUCGUGUUUUUCAGCUAUGACCGAUCGUUCGAAACGGUAACUAUCAAAUGAUUGGUAACGAGCUAACUACUGUUAUAAAAGAUAAUUUAUGUUCAGCUUAUGGCAAUAAUUACUCAUUAAUUAGUCAAGGAAGCUGGCAAUUAGUGUUGAUAAAGUAAACGGCUCCUUUCUCCAGAAAAAGAAAUAUUUGCCUGCUAUUUCUAGCAGUCCCUUCUACCACUUAACAGCUAUUUGCGAUAAAGGACCCACCGAUAUUUGACUGAAAUAAUUUUGUGACCCCUUACCCGCUUUUGUUUCCGGAAAAAGUGGCUUGCGGCGAGUUUUGGAGGUCAGAUACUCGAUAAAAAAAAAACCGUGGAAAAAAAAAUAGGUGCCGAGGUACGAAUGGGUCCUUUACGAAAUAUUUACCUAAUUAUUUUGGUCAUUCAUGGAAUGAUUUGUAUCUGGCCUAAAUUCUGGCUUGAGUAGCAGAAAAGAAAAUCUUUCGCCGGAAAGAUCUGGUAUUAAAUUUUCAAGAUUAUAAAAUACACGAAUUUCGUGUUCAAACACAAGACGAAACACUUUGGAGCUGUAUCCAAUAAAGGAACAUUUGACUAGUAAAAAUCGAUUUAAUCCUUUUCCUAAUCCAGCAGUCUCUCAUAUUCUCUCUUUUUCAAAUGAAUCCAAUGCGUGGCUCAUAAUUCUCAUAAUUUAAUGUGAUUUUUUCCCCCCAAUUGAAACUUUUUGCUGACUUUUAACUUUGCCAAAAAAGAAAAAAGAAAGAAACCAACAACCUAAUCCUUGGUUUUUGUAUUCGAAUUGGUUACAAUUAUUGUCUGUUUGAACUGUAAGACCGCAUUGUAGAAGAGGAAAUAAGCACGGACGUUUAUUGCACUAAUGGAUUAAGAGCAUAAAAAAGAUAGAGUAAAGUUCAGAUAGUGGGCGAUAACAAAAGAGGUCAUAGAGAGGAAGAGAGUAACGAAGGGAGAGAAAAAAGAUAUUCAUUUAGAAAUGAUGAAAUAUUUUGAGAGAGGGUAAAGGCGAGGAAAGAGGCGGGAAAAGGGUAUGUGGAGAUAAAACAGAUAAACAGAAAAGAUAUCUAUCUUGAAAUGGAGGGCAUAUAAUAAUUGCGUCUUAAAUGAAAACGUUUAAAAUAAUUUUUGAAUAUUUCUUCUUCUUGUGGAAAUGCGUAGUUUAUUAAAUUAACUCGCAUACACAAUAUAGGGAACAGUUUGUUGCAAUAGUACAAAUUCAAUUGAACUCGUGACCGGAGUGUAAAGAUUAGGGAAUAUUAAUGCUCUCUAAGAGAGUAAAAGAAAAAUUUUUGUGACAAGAAUUACUUUUGAAGUAACCGAGACUUGUUUUUUGUCAAGAAUUGAAUUAAUUGAAUCUGUAGUAGGGUCUCUGAAAGUGGUAAAAAUGCUUUUCCUUUUAUUUAAAUAUAAAGCUAAUUCAAACGUGCAUUAUGCAUUAAUAUUGCUCUUUUGUGGGAACAUCUUAAAUGAAUAAACAAAAUCAAUUUAGCGAUGUUGAGAUUAUAAACAGAUGCCAGGAUGAGCGCGCCCAAACGUCUACUUUUAUAUGCAAAUGAGUAGCUGCCAGAUUGGUCUUAAUCCAUCUAAACCGGAAGUGAUUGUAAUAAUGAUUUCAUCGACUUAACCGGUGCUCUAAAGAUAGUCUUUCCGGAUUUUCUUCGCAUCCUCAUGUCAUUGGAUUGUUCUUGGUCACGUCUUAGAGAUUUCAGCAUCUUUGGACCUGGCUUGUGUAACAUUCUUCUGUUUGUCAGUAACACUAUAAAUCAACAUUGAAACUAUGGGGAAAUUGAUCAAUUUCCUUUGGUGCAACGGUCCUCCCGAUGGGGGUGGUGGGAUUAUAUUUAUAAUUGGUCUGUUGCAUCUCGAUCGCUCGAUGUCCGUAGAAACGAACAUAGGAUUUAUUGUCGGGGGUUAAGCCGUCUAAGACAACUUUUCCCCAGAUUUGAGAGCCAUCCGGGUAGUUUGGCGUUGACCAACGACGUUGAAAAUAGGAGCGUUGUCUUUCGUACGACAUCAUUAUAGCAAAUACAAAAGAGGAACCUAAUGGCAUAUUUUAUUUUGCACUUGUUUCAGUUAUCAGACUGCGGCCAUGCUUAGGCACUGCCUUUAAGGGUUUAGUCGAACAAAUCCACCUCAGUAUUUAUUUUAUUUUCAAGCCUAGUAAUUAUUCUAUCGAUCCCAUUUGCCGAACUGCUAAGUUACAUGGACGUAAGCAUACCUGCACCGGUUGUCAAGCGGUGGUGGUGGUGGGGCGAACGCAAAGACACACACAUGCGCGCAUACUACAGAUUUCUUUCAGUUUCCAUUUACCAAAUCCACUCACAAGGCUUUGGUCGACCUGGAGUUAUAGUAGAAGACACCCAAAGUGUCAUGCAGUGGGAUUUGAAUCCGAAACCGUGUGGUUGUUCUAAUCAUGUGGUCAGGAUGAAACAAACUCCUUGCCUUUAUUGCCCAUGCCUGUGUCACAUAGAGUGAUUCUCAUUAAACGUCAUUCCUACGUUUUUUGUAGCGGCUAACUUGAACGAUGGGCAAGUGUUUUUUCUCUUGUAUAUUAGACCCAUUUAAAUAUUCAGGUAGAAUGAUAUUGAGUUGGGCCAUAUUAUUGUUCUUCAAAAAUGCAUAACCCUCCUUAAGAUAUAAAUAAUUGCGAUCCACAUUUUGAGGUGAUUAAACUCAAUUUAAAUUUGUUUCAAUUCAGAGCAUGUUAUGCAUUCACUAUAAGCGUGUUUAUUAUUUUUUUGCCUUCUGUUUUUGAUCGCAAAGUGGAAAUGGAAGAUUAGCGAUAACAAUCAGUCUUAAAACAAAAAAGUCGAAAUUUUGGAAAAAAAUUACUUUGCAGAGUUGCGAUGUCUAAUUUUCAGCACAGUAUUCUGCUCACCCCGCUAAAAAAAAAUUACGUGUGUUGAGGAGAGUAAGAAGGUUUGCAUAAACAGGAAUUCAAAGAGAUAUUGGCUAUCUUUCGGUUUGACUCGAUUUUUGUCAACAAAGAACUCGCUAAAUUCCGUGAACACGUGUUGUCUUGUCAACUGUCAGUUGAUAAUUAAAUGGGAAGAGAAAGCUAAUGGGUUGUACGUGCGAGCGUGCUUGUUGCUCUGAGUGUGUGUGUGCGUGCGUGCUUGUUCCUCUGUUCUUGUUUGUGUCUCUGUGUGCUCACACACACAUAGGAACAAGCAUGCACGCACCUACAACCCAUUAGCUUUCCCUUCCCAUUUCGUCAACUGACAGUUGACGAGACAGCACAUGUUCACGGAAACUUACGGAGAUUUUGUUGAAAAAAUUCGAGUCAAACCGAAUGAUAGCUUAAAUUUGUGAUUCCUGAUGUUAUGCAGGAGCAACUGCUUAAGAACAUCAGCAGCUGAACCCAAGACCACUAGAUUGGGAGGCAAGCUUCUUAACCACACAACCACAACUGCACAAUGCUCAGAUUAGCUAAAUCAGUGCUGACUUUCAAUCUUUGAGGAUCACAUUACUGGGAAUUAUUUACUAUUUUGUGUCCUGCAGAGAGUUAUAUAUACAUAGGCACAGGAGUGGCUCUUUGGAUAAGGAGCUUGCUUCCCAACCACAUGGUUCCAGGUUCAGUGCUACUGCAUGGAACCUUGGGCAAGUGUCUUCCACAAUAGCUUCAGGCUGACCAAAGCCUUGAGUGUGGAUUUGGUAGAUGGAAAUUGAAAGAAGCCCAUUGUAUAUAUGUGUGUCUGUGUUUGUCUCCCCACAACAUUUAGAUCUAAAUAAUUUUAUUUUUAAAAAGAAAAUGUAUUUAU